rnacentral:rRNA from 1 species
GAUGAACGCUGGCGGCGUGCCUAAUACAUGCAAGUCGAGCGAACAGACGAGGAUCUUGCUCCUCUUACGUUAUCGGCGGACGGGUGAGUAACACGUGGAUAACCUAUCUAUAAGACUGGGAUAACUUCGGGAAACCGGAGCUAAUACCGGAUAAUAUAUUGAACCGCAUGGUUCAAUAGUUAAAGACGGUUUUGCUGUCACUUAUAGAUGGUUCCGAGCCGCAUUAGCUAGUUGGUAAGGUAACGGCUUACCAAGGCAACGAUGCGUAGCCGACCUGAGGGGGUGAUCGGCCACACUGGAACUGAGACACGGUCCAGACUCCUACGGGAGGCAGCAGUAGGGAAUCUUACGCAAUGGGCGAAAGCCUGACGGAGCAACGCCGCGUGAGUGAUGAAGGUCUUCGGAUCGUAAAACUCUGUUAUUAGGGAAGAACAAAUGUGUAAGUAACUAUGCACGUCUUGACGGUACCUAAUCAGAAAGCCACGGCUAACUACGUG